rnacentral:pre_miRNA from 1 species
ACUACCUGGGGAUUUUGUUAAAAUGUAGGUUCUGAUUCAGCAGGUCUGGUGUGGAGCCUAAGAUUCUGCAUUUCUAAUGAGCUCCCAGGUGAUGCUGA